rnacentral:rRNA from 1 species
AGGUAGGAAUACCCGCUGAACUUAAGCUUAUCAAUAAGGGAGG